UGUAAAGCGAUAGCUUUUCAAAGGAAUAUUUUUAAGCAUGUACCCGUUUGGAUCAUACAAAGAAGAAGAAGAAUAAAUAAAACCUUGUUUAAAUAUGAGAUCUCCCACCCUUCCCCAUUCCUCCUCCACCUAGCUGUAAUUGGGAUCUAUAAAAUUCGGGUAGCCAUGAAUAACAAGAUUGUGCUUAUCAAACUUAAUUAAUGGAUCUGAAACACCAUAUCUAUAAACAUGGCAUCACCAUCCAUCCACCAAAUCCACUCCACCUCGAGAUGUGAAAGCAUCAGUUUCCUAAUCAAAUGCAAUUUGGCCCAAUACCCAACAAGUUCCGUAUCCAAAUGAGCUAAAUUAUAUACAAUCUCAAAUUCAUCUCCUCGAUUAAGUUUUGGUUCAAGGUCGUCGGCCUCGGAGCUGCCGAGAUUGCUCACUCUGAUGAUGCCAUGUAAGAUCAGGAUGGUGACGAAGCCGCAGAGGAUGGUGACGAAGCCGCAGAGGAUGGUGAUUUUGAUGUUGUUGAACGUGUCUUUCAGGAUCUGGUGGCGGAGGUCAUGGCGAAGGUAGGUGAUGGACUUGGGUAGACGUAUGGAGAUUAUUUAGAAGAAAAGGGAGUGCUUUAGGGUGCGCUUCGGGGAGCUUUUCAGCUCUCGUGCUUAUAAGCAAAUCCCUGGUUGGUGUUUUGGUAAACACCCUAACAGCCUGUUUUGGAAUGAAAAUUGGAAGCAGCCAAUGGAUUCCUUUUGGAAGCAGAAGCCGCGGGCGUACUGUAGCGGCCAUUUAAUGAAAUUUUUGAAAUUCCAGUCGGUACCGUCAUGAGCUUCAAGUAAUUACACGACCAACCUCGAAAAGACGCAUCUUCUCAUCCUCAACUCUCUGUCUCUUCUCCGUCAACUCUCUCUCUCGGUGGUCUACGGACAACGUCAUUCCUCUAUCGGCGCCUCCAUCUUCGCACUCCCCUGUGGCCACCUCGAGUUCAGUAAGGGGACUGGUGUUCAUAUCUGACGAAGGCAAUGUUGGGUUUUCAGUCGGCAUUCUUCAAUUUCAUGCCUUUCUAGCAGUGGUGUUGUUGGUAAUCUGUACCUACAGUCCUACACAUAUGUGAAAAUUGCAUUUCCACCACUUCUUGAGAACAAAACUGGGUAUGUUAGAUUCUGUUUACUUGCUUACUAGUGGCUUAGUCUGAGGGAUAAAUGGAUUCAAUGUCUAUUUAAAAUGACUAUAUUACAGUGAUCUGCUAAACUAAUAUGAUUUGAUAUAUAAUUUUAAAUUGCAUUAUAUUUUUAUGUCUCAAAACACUGAAAGUUAGAAGGUGUUGAAAGCUUGAUCGGUUUCCAUUGUGAAUCGAGUAUAUGAAAUGGGGUUGAGCCUCCCAGCUUGACUGGAUUCCAAACCCCAUUUAAAAAAAAAAAAAAAAAAAAAAAAGUAUAUGAAAUGGUGGAAGGUGUUGCUAAUACUUGAUAGAUAAGGUGUUCAGGCAUCGGAGAAAAGAGGUGAUGUUCAAAGUCGCAUACAAGACACAUGAUAAUCAGCCAUGUCAAUCGUUGCUUCACUUGCUUGCCAAGUUGUUUAGUGUGGUUCAAUUUUAUAAUGUACUCCUAAUUUCCUAUAUAUUUGCCCUUGUUUAAUGUUGAUGAUGGAUGAAAGUUUAACUAAUCAAAGAUCGAGUAUUUUGACCCCUUCAUUCAAACUUUGAAACUUUAUGUUUCUUUAAUUUUUAAAAGGAGAUAAGUUUUUGGGUGCCAAGAUAUGAGCAACAAUAAUUGGAGAUAUAAAUGUGGUCAAUAUGCAGUCCAAUUAGGGUUAGUUGGAGUGGAUUCCCAGUGUCUUCGGAAAACUCAGAUGCCACAUAAAUUUGAUGUGGCUGCAACCAUGCCAUCUAUCACAAGGUCAUUGGGACCUUUGAUGAUUAGCUAGUUAGCCAUUGCUAUAAUACAUUGAUACUUGAGCAGCAUAUCAUUCCCUUUCCCCCAAAAUUUCUGAUCUUAGCUUCUAUCCUUUCACAUUCUGAUGAAUCUGAUCAGUAGGGUUGGCCCUGUUUAUGCUCUACUAUAUAUAACAAAUACAUGGCACUACUCUAUGUUUUUCCAUACUUGUCUAACAUAGCAAUUGUUUGUGCAGCUAUCUAAGGCGUGGCCCGGGGUGGCAAUUCCCGGAGGUGGUAGGAUUGCUGUAAUACCCUGAAAAUUCGUUAUUAAUUUCUUGAAAUUUCUGAAAAUUAAUAAAGUGUUCGUUAGUACGAUUUCGUGGUUCGAGGGUGGAGUAGAAUUAUUUUCAGACGAAUAAUUUUUUGAAAUGCAUGGUUUUAGGGGGGCACGAAGUUUGACUUUUUAUACGUUGGGUUUCUCCGAAAACUUCCUUCACGAAAGUUGUAGAACACUAGAGCGCGUGGAUACGAGUUCGUGCAUAUGCGGAACGCAAAUAUCGGAGUUUGUAUGAAGAAGUUAUUGCAUUCGUGAAAAUUUUCCAUUUUUGAUAAAAGGACGAAAGUUUUCAGAAAUUGCAAAGAAGGCCACAUUUCCAAAUUUGGAAACUGAACCUCAUGUUUAGUCUCUCGACCAGAAAUCGCCCGAUCCCUUUGACCAGCGAUAUAUUAGUCGUCCGGCCACCUUUGGACGAGCUACCACCGGCGCUGGCUUCGUCUCUUCCUCCUUUAGCUCCUCGUGGUAGCAUCUCCUCCCUUCUCAGCGUCUACGUGGUGGAGCACGGCGAGCCCGAUCCAAAACCCAGUUUAAGGUCAACGCCGAUAUCUUCCAUCUACAGCCAUCAUAGCUCAAGCCACUUGGCUUGUUAGAGUCGGCUGAAGAUGCUGGUCAUGCUCCCCAAAGGAUUCGAGCUGAAGUGAAGUCUGGAGGGAGAACCAAAGCUCAUCGGAAAACUGGGCAAAAAUUCCGACCGAGCUCCUGUUUGGAUAAUUUUUGACCUCUUAUGCUUUGAUUUAGACUUGAUGCUAGUUGAGAAAAUUGUAGGACAUGUUGAGACGAAGAGUUGCAAGUAGGUUUCACCACCUAACUCGGUGGUUGACGGCGGCGCCGCCGCCUACUGUGGCGGUGCUUUGCGGCGACUUCCGGCCACUUUAGUAGGGACAGUUUCUAUUCCUGAUUUCGAUCUACUCGUCGAUACGAGCAUUUCAAUAUACAACACUUAAUUUUUGGAGAUCGUAUGAGCAUGUUAGUGUUUUAGCAUUUUAGAUUCGAUCGGUUUUCGAUCUGUGAGGAUCCGGCCGUUCGAUCGACUUGUAGCUUUGAUAUAUUGAUCGUAUAAGUAUUCCGGAGACCUUGAGUGGUCUUGGAUGAAGUUUCGCCUCGAUUGGCAUUAGUUUCAAGGUUUUAGUUCAAACAGGGGUUCGAACUUUAAUCGCGUUGUGAUUCGUGUGUUAAAAUGUGACAUUGAUGUGACUAGGUACAUGGCGAAGUUGUUCUAGACAAAUUGUUGUGCUUGUGUUAUCUCGUACAGUGUGUGAAAAUGCAGCGGGAUUUAGAGCUGAGUAAAUUUCACGAGAUUCAUUAUGUGGUAGUUGAGUGAUUGUUGUUAUUGAUGGUUGAUGGUGUAUUAUUUUCUAGUUUAUUUCUAUUAUUGAAUUGCUUGUUUCUUUCGUAAUCUCCUGAACUAAAUUAUAUGUAGGGAUUACUGUUUUCUGAAUUGGUUGGUUUUAAUGUAAUCUCCUGAACUAAACUAUAUGCAGGGAUUACUAUGAUUUUGGAUUGUGUGCUUUGGUGAUCUCCUGAACUAAUUUUUUUAAGCAAGGAUUACUGGUUUUAUUUAGUUUAAUUUGUGAGUGUAGUUGUGGAUGAGACUUGUAGUGAGUCGAGAAAUGUUUUAUCACAUCGUUGUGGUGAUAAAUGCUUCCUGUCGAGAGGAAAUGAGUAAUUUCUUUGAUUUGUUGUUGAGCUUUCAAAUGAUUUGGUUUGUCACGGUGGUAACCUGUGUUUUCCUUAAAAAGAAAAGGAUUUUUCUUUUGGAAAUAAUCAUUGUCUUGAUUUGUUGUCAUUGAGUAAGAAAGGUGUUUUGUGGUUAUUAGGGUUUACUCACAUGAGCUUGCAAAAGCUUACCGGGUUUGUUGUUUUAACCUGGUGCACUAUUCCAUGGUGUAGGGGUUAUUGUGAAGGUCAGAGUAACGAGUAACAUUGGUCGAAGCUGAGGCCUUGUUGCUAUCGUAGCGCGCGUGGACGUAGAAGUGUACUUUAGUUUUAGUCUUCCGCUGUGUAGUGAGUGUGGUGGGUGUGUUACUUAUUGAAUUGUUGUUCAGUUUAAUUUGUAAACUCUCUGUAAUGUAAUAUGUGACUCUAAAGAAUGAGUCGGUAUUGAUAUUGUGAGCUCGAUUUUUUUUUUUGGAGAAAGAAAGAAAGCUGAGCUCGAUUUGUUUUGUUGCUUAGUUUAAAUGAAAAAUUUUCUAAGUGUUCUUUUUA